rnacentral:rRNA from 1 species
UACGUAGGGGGCUAGCGUUGUCCGGAUUUAUUGGGCGUAAAGAGCGUGUAGGCGGCCAGGUAGGUCUGCUGUGAAAACUCGAGGCUCAACCUCGAGACGUCGGUGGAAACCGUUUGGCUAGAGUCCGGAAGAGGAGAGUGGAAUUCCCGGUGUAGCGGUGAAAUGCGCAGAUAUCGGGAGGAACACCAAUUGCGAAGGCAGCUCGCUGGGACGUCACUGACGCUGAGACGCGAAAGCGUGGGGAGCAAACAGG